UUUGGACUAACGUAAUACAUAUUGUAAAUGGCCCAAUUUGCCCGGGCCCAUGCAGCAAUAAACAAAAAAUAAAUAAAAAACAAAAUCCCAAUCACUUACAAAUCCAGCAGGCCUAUAUGGCCCAAAACCAAAAAAUAGCCCAAACCUAACUAUACCUAAACCCUAGCCCAACAAAACAGCUCAAAACACUUUUAGAAAAAGAAAACAAAAAAACCAUAACAGCCUAGGUUUCCAG
rnacentral:lncRNA from 1 species